UCGACGGAAGGNCCUUCGGGGUGCUCGAGUGGCGAACGGGUGAGUAACACGUGGGUGANCUGCCCUGCACUUUGGGAUAAGCCUGGGAAACUGGGUCUAAUACCGGAUAGGACCACGGUCUGCAUGGAUUGUGGUGGAAAGCUUUUGCGGUGUGGGAUGGGCCCGCGGCCUAUCAGCUUGUUGGUGGGGUGAUGGCCUACCAAGGCGACGACGGGUAGCCGGCCUGAGAGGGUGACCGGCCACACUGGGACUGAGAUACGGCCCAGACUCCUACGGGAGGCAGCAGUGGGGAAUAUUGCACAAUGGGCGCAAGCCUGAUGCAGCGACGCCGCGUGAGGGAUGACGGCCUUCGGGUUGUAAACCUCUUUCAGCACAGACGAAGCGCAAGUGACGGUAUGUGCAGAAGAAGGACCGGCCAACUACGUGCCAGCAGCCGCGGUAAUACGUAGGGUCCGAGCGUUGUCCGGAAUUACUGGGCGUAAAGAGCUCGUAGGUGGUUUGUCGCGUUGUUCGUGAAAACUCACAGCUUAACUGUGGGCGUGCGGGCGAUACGGGCAGACUGGAGUACUGCAGGGGAGACUGGAAUUCCUGGUGUAGCGGUGGAAUGCGCAGAUAUCAGGAGGAACACCGGUGGCGAAGGCGGGUCUCUGGGCAGUAACUGACGCUGANGAGCGAAAGCGUGGGGAGCGAACAGGAUUAGAUACCCUGGUAGUCCACGCCGUAAACGGUGGGUACUANGUGUGGGUUUCCUUCCUUGGGAUCCGUGCCGUANCUAACGCAUUAAGUACCCCGCCUGGGGAGUACGGNCGCAAGGCUAAAACUCAAAGGAAUUGACGGGGGCCCGCACAAGCGGCGGANCAUGUGGAUUAAUUCGAUGCNACGCGAANAACCUUANCUGGGUUUGACNUGCACAGGACGNNNGCAGANAUGUNGNUUCCCUUGUGGCCUGUGUGCAGNNGGUGCAUGGNUGUCGUCAGCUCNUGUCGUGAGAUGNUGGGNUAAGUCCCGCAACGAGCGCAACCCUUGUCUCAUG
rnacentral:rRNA from 1 species